rnacentral:rRNA from 1 species
UGGGGGAUAUUGCACAAUGGGCGAAAGCCUGAUGCAGCGACGCCGCGUGGGGGAUGAAGGCCUUCGGGUUGUAAACUUCUUUUGCUCUGAACAAGGCAUGCCAAUGGGUGUGUUGAGUGUAGGGGUUGAUUAGCGCCGGCUAAGUACGUGCCAGCAGCCGCGGUAAUACGUAGGGCGCGAGCGUUGUCCGGAAUUAUUGGGCGUAAAGGGCUUGUAGGUGACUGGUUGCGUCUGUCGUGAAAGCUCAUGGCUUAACUGUGGGUUUGCGGUGGGUACGGGCUGGCUUGAGUGCAGUAGGGGAGGCUGGAAUUCCUGGUGUAGCGGUGAAAUGCGUAGAUAUAUGGAGGAACACCAGUGGCGAAGGCGACUCUCUGGUCUGUAACUGACGCUGAGGCUCGAAAGCGUGGGUAGCAAACAGG